rnacentral:piRNA from 1 species
UGGGAAAACAGUAUGAAAAUAUCAACAUCC